rnacentral:rRNA from 1 species
UGCCAGCAGCCGCGGUAAUACGUAGGGGGCGAGCGUUGUCCGGAUUUACUGGGCGUAAAGCGCGUGUAGGCGGUCCCUUAAGUCCGAGGUGAAAGGUGGAGGCUCAACCUCCAAGCUGCGUCGGAAACUGGGGGUCUUGAAUGUCGGAGAGGGGCGUGGAAUUCCUGGUGUAGCGGUGAAAUGCGUAGAGAUCAGGAGGAACACCGGUGGCGAAGGCGGCGCCCUGGCCGAACAUUGACGCUGAGACGCGAAAGCGCGGGGAGCGAACGGGAUUAGAUA